CUGGCCUACAUCAGAUUAAAUGCAUGGGUUCCCUCACUCGAUCAAGCGCUUCUGCGCUCAUCCCAAUCCAUUCUCGAAAACCCUAGCAGAGUAAAAACCAGUCUCGGAUUGCUGGAUUCUCCUUUCAUUUAUGCAAAUCUUCAAAUGGAAAAUGCUCAACGCCUCUCCAUCCAUAGUGCUUCUAUAGUAACUGUCUUCGAAGGCAAGCCUCGGAUCUCCUUCUUUCAUCUUCUCUUAGGGUUUCUCAAACCGCAGCUCGAUCUAUCUUGAUUGAUUCUUUGUUCUCGCCCGAGGAUGUCGAGAUCGGAUCCCGACCGUUGGAUUUCUUCCAGUCCAUCACUUCGGAGCGGGUGAAGGUCAUCUCGAUACUCGGGCUGGCACUGGCGCUCUAUAACACGUAUUGGGUGGUGAUGUCGAUGGCGAUCGUUCCUCUGUUGCCUGUGUUGUUCAGGGGUGUUGCUAGAUGACCUGCUUGUGGCUGAAGAUCUAGCUGCUGCUGAAACAACAAGUGCUGCUUCACAUGCUGCAGCAGCAGCUGCUGCAACCAAUGUACAAGCAGGGAGAUUACCUGCAAGAUACACAUUUGUUGAUGAAAGAACAAGACAAGAAAUUCCUAAAGUAGGUGUUGAUGGUGCUGUUGUGCUGGGUAGCCUGGUUGCCCCUCCUAUAAAUGGGAUAUGUACACCGAUAUAAGUGCUGAGAAUGCAAUGCUUCAAAGGAGACUUAGUAAAGGGGUUGAAUACUUGGUUGAGGUCAGCUGCAGAAGCUGGGCCUAUAAGUGCUACAUUAGCUGCUGCCAAGGCCUGACAAAUUAAUGAAGAGAUUGAGUAAAUUACGGAUCGGGAUCAUGGAGCAGAUGUUACACCAAGUGGGAAACAAAUUUCUACCCUGAUUAAGGUGUCAGAUUCCACCUUAACAAAUAACGUCCCACCAUCUGGAGUUCGGCUGCAUUGCAGAGCUGUCGGUAGUUAAAUACUGCCUUUUUGAAUCUAUUUUAACUUACUAAUAUGAAGUUGCUUCUAUUCCUGUAUGUUGACUCAGAAAUUACUCAAUUUGCUUACAAAUUAUCUGCAGGUUGUUGCUGUA